GUGGGGAAUCUUGCGCAAUGGGCGAAAGCCUGACGCAGCCAUGCCGCGUGGAUGAUGAAGGUCUUAGGAUUGUAAAAUCCUUUUACCGGUGAAGAUAAUGACUGUAGCCGGAGAAGAAGCCCCGGCUAACUUCGUGCCAGCAGCCGCGGUAAUACGAAGGGGGCUAGCGUUGCUCGGAUUUACUGGGCGUAAAGGGCGCGUAGGCGGACAUUUAAGUCAGGGGUGAAAUCCCGGGGCUCAACCUCGGAACUGCCUUUGAUACUGGGUGUCUUGAGUAUGAGAGAGGUGUGUGGAACUCCGAGUGUAGAGGUGAAAUUCGUAGAUAUUCGGAAGAACACCAGUGGCGAAGGCGACACACUGGCUCAUUACUGACGCUGAGGCGCGAAAGCGUGGGGAGCAAACAGGAUUAGAAACCCGGGUAGUCC
rnacentral:rRNA from 1 species